GAUGAACGCUGGCGGCGUGCCUAAUACAUGCAAGUCGAGCGGUAAGGCCCUUCGGGGUACACGAGCGGCGGACGGCUGAGUAACGCGUAGGAACGUACCCCAAACUGAGGGAUAAGCACCAGAAAUGGUGUCUAAUACCGCAUGUGCUCCACGGAGUAAAGCUUCGGCGGUUUGGGAACGGCCUGCGUACGAUUAGAUUGUUGGUGAGGUAAUGGCUCACCAAGUCGACGAUCGUUGGCUGGUCUGAGAGGAUGAUCAGCCAGACUGGGACUGAGAACGGCCCAGACUCCUACGGGAGGCAGCAGUAGGGAAUUUUCCACAAUGGGGGCAACCCUGAUGGAGCAACGCCGCGUGCAGGAUGACGGUCCUAUGGAUUGUAAACUGCUUUUGCACAGGAAGAAACAACGCUACGUGUAGCGUCUUGACGGUACUGUGAGAAUAAGGAUCGGCUAACUCCGUG
rnacentral:rRNA from 1 species